rnacentral:rRNA from 1 species
GUAGGUGGCAAGCGUUGUCCGGAAUUAUUGGGCGUAAAGCGCGCGCAGGUGGGUUCUUUAAGUCUGAUGUGAAAGCCCCCGGGCUCAACCGGGGAGGGUCAUUGGAAACUGGGGAAUUUGAGUGCAGGAGAGGAAAGUGGAAUUCCACGUGUAGCGGUGAAAUGCGUAGAUAUGUGGAGGAACACCAGUGGCGAAGGCGACUUUCUGGCCUGUAACUGACACUGAGGCGCGAAAGCGUGGGGAGCAAACAGGAUUAGAUACCCUGGUAGUCCACGCCGUAAACGAUGAGUGCUAAGUGUUGGGGGGUUUCCGCCCCUCAGUGCUGCAGCUAACGCAUUAAGCACUCCGCCUGGGGAGUACGGUCGCAAGACUG